GGAACCAAUCUGAGCCCUAGCCAUGAGAGGGCAGCCCGAUGUAUCAGCAGUCUUUCUCUCCUCUCUUCUCUCCUUGAUAUAUGGCGGUCAGGGUUCGGGUCAGGGCCCUGUCAAUUCCACCCCAACCCAAUUUUGAAAAUGCUUGUAGAGAACGCAACAUAUGCUACAAAACCUAAAUCUCACCAUUACUGGCAAUGGCAGGUCUAAGUACUUUCUCUGAAGUUUUGCAUUACUGUAACCUCCUGGGUCUCAGACUCUCAGAUGGCUUCCAGUAAUGUAUAGUUAAAAGGUGAAAGUUGUAGAUGAAGGAGCGUCAAAUGCCCCUUUCAUUACUUGUUCAUUAUAUUAAUCUUAAUCUCUUGGAUUAGUUGGUCUAGUAGACCGGAUACUAAAUUAUAAAUAAAUUAAAAAAUUGUACUAAUUCUUUGGUAGUGUGCUGUGUAGAUUUUUUUGUCUUAGCUCUUUUUUCUUGGCAAUCUAAGUGAAUUGCAUAUUGGAGUUUGGUGCAAACUUACAAUGCUUUGAACAAUGUUCCUAUACAUUUCAAUUUAAUUUCCUACACAGUUUCAAUAUGCUAACAUUUGUUCAUUUUCCUGGGAUGUUUUUUUAUUUUUUUGGAUAGCCAUUUUCCUGGGAUGUUAGACCACCCUCUUUAGUUUCUUAUUUUUUCGUUUGGGAAUAUGUUAUUUUAGUACUUUUUUGACUUUUUGAGUAAAA